rnacentral:lncRNA from 1 species
GUAUUUCCGCGGGCGCUGAGCACUAGAGAGAGCGUCUUGUGGCUGCGGCCUGCCCCUCAGCCUCCUCCGCGCGGUUACCCCUGUACCCGCCGCCAUCCGUCCUGGCGCUCCGGAUGAGUCAAUGAGGGGCAGGGCCCGAGGAGUGGUCUUCCCAAGAACCCCUGGUGGCCUCCCAAGGCCGGCCUCGUGGGCUGUGCGGCUAUCCUGGAGACAGAUGACAGCUCUCCCUUGGAUGGCUUUGCUGGUUCCGCACCAGCCAGCGCCCCCAUUUUUCCUGCAGCACCCUGAUCUGCACUCCCUGAGGGGCUCCCACUGUCCGCGGUGUGAGGAUGUCCCUGGUCCACUGUGUGCAGAGGCAUGGGAGUUGUCAUGUUGGGAACAUGCUAGACCUCAGUAUCCUUGAGGGAUGCUGCCUUGGGUCUGGAAACUGUUAGAGGAAACCCCAAGAGGUGCAGGCACUGAGCCUCUCAGGACAAUGACCUGGGGUCCCAGCUCCCCUGGAGGGGCCUCCUCAUGAUUGUUUGGGGGUUGAUCACAGACCAAGAGUGACGAGUGAUGUCACCCUGUGACUCAUGGCUGGACCUUCUUGCCCCUAUUGUCUCAGCACAACAUUAUUCGACUUUUCCCUCAGCGUGGGUGGGCAGAGGAAAAGCCCUGUGGCUCUGGGGACUUGGGAUCCAGAGUUGAAGACCCUUCAGCUGGCUCUGCCCUGCCAGUGCCACAGAGUGCCAUGGCCCAGGAAGACAGGUUUUCUUCCAUCUAGGCCAGGCCAUCCAGUGGCCAUCCUCCGUGUCCUCCCGCCUCCUCCUGGUGUGACUUCUGAAAACCAAGAAUUUGUUCCUGUUGACUUUUUCUGUGCUAUGGACCAUUGUCCUCUCACCCACUCAAUAAAUCUUGAAACAUGC